rnacentral:rRNA from 1 species
GUGGCGACCGGGUGAGUAACACGUGAGCAACCUGCCCCUGACUCUGGGAUAAGCGCUGGAAACGGCGUCUAAUACUGGAUACGAGUAGCGACCGCAUGGUCAGUUACUGGAAAGAUUUAUUGGUUGGGGAUGGGCUCGCGGCCUAUCAGCUUGUUGGUGAGGUAAUGGCUCACCAAGGCGUCGACGGGUAGCCGGCCUGAGAGGGUGACCGGCCACACUGGGACUGAGACACGGCCCAGACUCCUACGGGAGGCAGCAGUGGGGAAUAUUGCACAAUGGGCGCAAGCCUGAUGCAGCAACGCCGCGUGAGGGAUGACGGCCUUCGGGUUGUAAACCUCUUUUAGCAGGGAAGAAGCGAAAGUGACGGUACCUGCAGAAAAAGCGCCGGCUAACUACGUGCCAGCAGCCGCGGUAAUACGUAGGGCGCAAGCGUUAUCCGGAAUUAUUGGGCGUAAAGAGCUCGUAGGCGGUUUGUCGCGUCUGCUGUGAAAUCCGGAGGCUCAACCUCCGGCCUGGAAUGGGGUACGGGGCAGACUAGAGUGGGGUAGGGGGAGAUUGGAAUU